UAUUUAAGCAAAGCUAUUUUGUAAGUUUGGGCGGGGGUUGACGACUGCGACAACUUUCUGAGAAAUUGUCCAUGUUGCUUUAUGCUGGAGGGGUGCAGCUCGUGAUCCUUCAAAUUGAGACAAACAGAAAGUAACUAAAAGGAGUAUGAUCAGCAACACUGCUCAAAAGCAAACGGCAUCAGGCACUGCUCUACAUCUUCAGUAUCGAGCCACCUCAGCCACCGUGCCAACACAGCUGCUCUGAGAUCACACACGGCGAGUGAGAUCACAGCUCUGAUCCAUCUGAAAAGAAAGCCAGCACCACGCAAAAACAAACUCAAAAAACCCCUGACCGGUACAGAAUAUCAGCUGACCUUUUAAGCCAGAAACUGAUCUACCAGAUAAGAGCAUAAAAUACUGUAUUAUCUUUCCCUGCCUCUGCUCUGACCUCAGCAGCCACUCUGAUGCAUUACUCCCUAGACUGCCUAGAAAUAAAGCAAAGUAACAAGAUUUUAA